AGAGCCGCUGGAGAGAGAAAGAGGACAGACACAUGCAUGACUGAGUCAGACCUCCACAUUUUCUGCAAACGCACACGCACACAAAUAUCUACAUCAUAAAUCAUGAACCAGAAGGUAUGUAACUAAAGAUACGUGUAUAAUCUUUUAAGACAGGCCUCAUCUGGAUAUUUUUGGAUAGAGUGUUAUAGUAUUAAAACAACAAGCAGAAAUAUUAGGGGAAAAAAAUUACAGUAAGGCUAAGAAGUGAAAGAUAUGACAAUGUCUAACAUUUAUUUGACAGGAUCUUUUUUGCUGGCAUAGAACAAUCAAAAAUAGAACGAUUCAAUUGCAGUCUUUGAGAUAAAAUAAACAAAACAUCUGCAAGACAUUUAUGAGAUCAAAAGAGAGCAGUGAAUCAGAGUAUCAUAUGUACUGUAUAUUGUCCAGGUUUAUUGGCAGAAAUGGGCAGAAAUGUAAUACCCAUUAAUCUGUUUGUAUAAGUGGUUUCUGUAGCCUUAGAAUAGGUACCUAAAGGCAGGGGCCUUGCUUUAUGUAGGCUGCCAUUUUGCGCUGCAAUGUUUCUACAUUAGCCUCAACCGACAAAAACCAGCCUGAGCGUGUUUUUCCCCAUUCUGAAGCAGAAGUUUACCACUCAAACAAAAACAAAAUCCUUGCAGGUAUGCAAAGGCUACUGCAGUUUCCCAACGCACUUGGGGAGGGGGGUUGAGGGGGGGAUGUUACAAUCUGUAGUCUCACCAUUAGAUGUCACUAAUUCUUCACAUUGGACCGUUAAGUAACUGCUCCAGAUGUACUUUGGCAGCAGCAGCAGCAGCAGCAGUCUCUAAUAAGUGCUUCCAGAAGCUGCACAAUCUUUGCAAACUGUGUUGGAGCUGGAGUCCAUCUUGAGAGCAGCCAGACCCUUUCACUGACAAGUCAAACAUAAACUACAACACACAAAUGCGAAGCUCAGGAAACAGCUAAGAACACAGUGACGGCCUAAUCUGUUGGCUUUGGGCUGAAGACUCCACUCGGCCAAAUAAAUGAAUGUGUCAUCAUUCGAGUUCAGCAGCAACUGCUUCACCUCCUCAGGUCGCAUUCGCUCUGUGUAGGAGGAAUUGCCUGUUACUAUGGAAACAUGCCGGACAGGACAGCCAUGACCUUUGACACGGGACCACAGUUUGCACAGUAAAGGGCCUGGGAGCUGAAGACUGAACCAGGAAACACAAACACACAAGCAGUCACACUGGUGUCCACUCAUAUGUGCUGUGGUUAAUUGUGUAUUUUCAUCUAAAUGGGAGCAUAUUUACAAAAUAAACAUAUAUAGAUGUUGAAUCUUGUGAUUGAGACCCAUUAACUCCUCAGGAAAACGUUUACUGACGUUAUUUCCCAUAUAAUUCUAUUUCAAAGAGUUCAUUAUGCAACCAAAAGAGUCGCCCCCUGCUGACUACCUGCUAUCUCCGUCCUACUUCCUAGACAGCAAACACUGGGUUUAAGAACUACUCUUAAAAGACACAGAAAUACAAACAUGAGUGCAGAUAAAAUGUGGUCUACAACAACAACAGCUGUGUGAUGGCAAAAACAACACAGCACACAACUACAGGUCAUUGGUUCCCCUUGCCUGAAGCUACUCAAGAAAAUGACAGUUUUUAGCAUUUAACUGCAACAUUAAGAAAACAGAACAAUGAUAUGCACAUUCAAUAAUAACAUGUGGAUCUAACAAAAAUCUUCAUAACAAGUCAAAAGCAUAUCAAUAAUAUCGGCUCAUUUUGCAACCUGCAGAGUCGCCCCCUGGGGGUUAACUGCUGCCUCCGUCCUACUUCAUAGGUGAUGUGAGACAGCAAACACUGGGUGUAACUGCUUCUCUUUAAAGAAACACAGAUAUGCAAACACGCGUGCAGAUAAAACAUGGUCUGCAACAAAAACACACACGUCUUUACAGGUGUGUGAAGACAAAACGUUUGUGUCUGCUUGUCAGACAGACAGCAAACACUGGCUUUAACUGCUAAAAGACCCAGGUUUGUGCAGCUGCUCUUCUAGGACACUGCAUUGAAUUCCAUUCAAAUGGACAGUUACGGCCUAACCUAACCACAACUACAAAUCUUAGCUAAACUUAACUAGUUCUUCAGAAAUUAGAUUCUCAUUGGAACCAUGUUUUGGUCUCCAUGAGGACUACUGGUGCUGACACGGUCAGUGUUCGUGCCAGAAAAGGUCAGAAAAGUGGCGACAAAUACAAGUUCAACACACAUACGCACACACAGCAACAACACAUAAACCCGUCUCUUAAAUCUGAGCAGGACAAUAGUCCAAUCCACAAGAAUGAUGUCAGGAACUUUCUACUCUCCAACCUCUACAUAGUUUUCCUGUUUUCAUUGAACUUUGCUGAACGGCUGAAGCUAAUAAGAGCGAGGGACGGGUGGAUUUGUGUUUUCCUAAGUGGGAGCUGUUGUAUAUUGGGUUAUGCGACAAGAGCGACUCGACAAUAACAGAUCGCUUCCUUCCUCCAGAAUGUGCGACCGCCGCUCUAACAGGCAGCACUGGGUGAAACCACACGAGGACACGCACGUAGAGAAAGGAAAACAAUGUGACAGACAGAAUCUAUGGAAACCACUGUUUUGGACCAUGGUGGACAAACUAAACACCUUUUGAGUUUUGAUGCUAACAGAAGGCUGCAUAGGUUCAUGGACACUCUUGGAAGGAAAAGCUGAGGAAACCAGAGAACCCAGAAAGAGUCAACGCAUGUGACAAAAACAUGCCAACUUUCAAGAAAGAGAGACAGAAAGGUCCCGUUUGAACCAGGAAUCAAACCAGGAACCUUCUUGAGGUGAGUGAAAGGAGUCGCUGCGUCCUGAGCUGGAGGACGUCCUCUUUUACGCACAAGGGGGCGCGUGCACAGUCUUCUCCCGACGUUUGCCCAAAGACAAGUUUGAGAGCCGUCAGUGGGCGGUCUGGCUUCCAGCCUGCUGCAGGGCCUCGAGGUUGAGCCAGACUACACACGCGCUUGGACGGAACGGCCCUGAGUGCCCAUUCACUCACCUCCCAUAUGGGAGAACGCCUGAGGGAGGAAGGAAACAGAGUGGGACAUGUGGAGGAGUGGGAGAGCAGAACAAAGACAAAGAGGUGGGUCAGAUAUAAAUGAAAAUGUAACUAACAGUAAAUGAGGAAGAUGAAGAUGGAUGAAAGUCGUGUGGGCGCAUGCCGCAUGAGCAAAUGGGAUUAGAAAGUUGAUGUAAAAAAAAAAAAGAAGUGACGUUUGCUUAUUUUCUAUUUGUAUAAUUCAAAUGCACUACAUUCAAAUGAUGUCAGUGGUUUGUGGUGAAUACAGGGAAAUGUGUUGAGGAAGAGUGCAGUGCACUGGUGGAAACAAUAGUGCUCACACGGCACGGAUGGUAAUUUGCCGUGGGAAUAAUACACAACUCCUUAUAUGGACAUCCUGGGAGUGUGUGUUUAUAGGUCAUAUUCAGGCUUUAAAGUUAUGAUUCAUUUUACAUCGCAUUUUUAGUAGCGAUAUAAAGUAGCAAUAAUUGUGCAGAAGUCACAAAAAUAGACCGUUUUUCUCUACUUUUUGUUCAUGAAAACAAGCCAAGUGAACUUUGAACUGUGACGUAUUUCCAAAUUUCACAAAUUCAAUCCGACGUUAAACAUUUUUAAUUCUUUUUGCUCAUUUUGUGUUUUAGAGACCACACAUGUAUUAAUAGCAGUGUUCUGCAUGAGUAAUAGUCCAAAAAAAAUGUAUAUUUACGCAGCUUGAGUGUAGAGCUUUUUACUUCUGCACAACUCAGACCAGCGAGGAGUUAAUUCUAUGAGGGGGAAACAAAAAGCAGUUGAGGGUUUCGUUGUAAACUGUGCAAAGAAAAACCAAAAGUAAAGUAAAGAGUAAGUUGAAGACGUACCAAUUCUAGUGGUGGGUCCUAUCUUCUCGUGAGGCAGCUCAUCCAGCCAGUAAACGGAACGACUGGAAAAUAGAAAAGAAGCCUCAUCAGAGAGAGGAGGAGGACGAUGAGGAAGAUAGACAGACGUCUGUAAGAGCGAGCCUACCGGUCUGGAAAUCGGAGUUGGUUGAGUUUGGGUCGGGCGAGCUUCUGUGUCCGGGUUGCCAUGGAAACAGAUGGGACUGAAUUUCACUUUUAAAGGGGCAUGUUGAAGUCUACGCACGGCAAGGUACGGCCUGGUCCUUCGCUGACUUCACCAUAUUUAUUCAGCAACAGGAGGUCAGUUGGUUGUGUUAGUUUUUGUUGUUUUUUUGACUUUGAAUGUAAAAUGAAUGAUGGCACCCAUUGGUUUUGUGAACUACCAUCUGAAGCUUUUAGUUCUGCAACAUCCCUUUUUCUUUUUUGCAGGCAGAAUUAUCCAUAUUUUAAGAAGGAAGGAUGAGUGGGAGGACACUUUUCAUGCCUUCACCCGUUACAAUGGAAGUCAGGUUCAUUAGUGACAACACUGAAAAUCUUUCUUUGUACUUAAUAAAGAUUCAAGUUACAAUUGACAGUUGAAAACAGUCACUGGCUGGAUUUCUGUCCUGCCUCAAUCUUCUCUCUGUCCAGUCCAACAGCUUCUCUUCUCAUCGGUCGACCAUUUUGAAAACAAGUUCACAACAUAGAAUUAUGUUAAUUUCUCUUUAUUAUGUAAUUUAAUCUAAAUAUUUAAUCAAAAACUUAAACAGUCUUGAGAUUGUCUUCCUGAGAAAAUAUCUUCACGUUUGGUAAAAUGUUAGCUAUAAUAUCUUUUUUUUUUUGAAAGAAAGACAAACUACUAAACUAUAACUGAAGCCACGUCUCUAAUAAACAUCAUUAAAAGCAUAUCUAUAAACAUCUGGUACAGACUAAUUUGAUCUUGCGAGAUAAAAGUUAGACUAAAACUGUCUUUUUUUCCUUCCUAUAAAACAUGUUUCAGAUUGAUAACUCGUCCUCAGCGCUGGCACUGAAAAUGUUGUUCUGGAUUCUUCUUUCGGAGUUCUCUUGAACCUCGCCUGCAGGAUUUUAGUUUAAUGUCUCCUCCUAUUUCUGUUGCUCUGUGUUCUCCUGUGGAAAUAAAAGUCUGCCUCUUUGGGCAAACUCUCCUCUCCGCAGCCGUUUAUGGGGAACGUUGUGAAGUGGAAGCCGCUCGGGGGCUUUGGUGAGGAGAGGCACUGACAGAGCGGACCCUUCGUCUUUUGGCGGGACGAGCGGCGGGAGUGGUCGUUCGUGUCCUUCGUCGCUUGGCGGGACGAGCGGUGCGAGUGGUCCUUCGCCGACUUUGACGUUUGGCGGGACGAGAAGCCUUUGCUCUAGUUUUCCUUGAUUUUACCAUUUUUUCUGCAGCAAUUUGGUUUUUGGCGGAAGUUUGAGAAGGAAGGAAAUGAUGCAGCCGUGAAAUUGUCGUGCGUUGAAUACUCAAGAUACUACCUCUACUCCAGAAAAUGCCUUUGAUGUAAAAUAUGACAUCAUAGAUGACAUCAUGUAAGGAAUAUGAUGUCACCCACAGACCAGUGGUGGCAACUUUUGAAUUUCUUUUUUUGAAGGCAGAGGUAACCAUUUUAGAUGAGUGGGUGGAGGAAGUGGACAGGACAGGAAAUCAGUCCACCAACCAAUAAGACAACAUUGAAAGGGUGUGUCCUGGGCCUGAGACAUGGUAGAUCACAAUGAAACGCUGUCAUGCAGGGAACUGCAUGAAGGUCUCCUUUAAUUGGGGACUCAAUGUUUUGACCAUGUGUCCGUGUGUCCAGCUGUUCCAUGAUAUGGUCACUGUGUGAAUGACGCACAGUUCUGAAUAAAUUCUCAAGGAAAUGUCAGUGAAACUACAGAAGCAACCGUGUCUAGUGUCUAUGAAACAUAAAAUAAAUAAGUAGGGGACACACAGUGGGGCACACGGUCAGCACUGUCGCCUCACGGCAAGAGGGUUGCUGGUUCGUGUACCAGGCCAGGCCUUUCUGUGUGGAGUCUGCAUGUUCUCCCUGAUAAAUUCACAUUCACAACUCUGCGUUCAAAUGUUUUAUCUUGCUUAUUUGGUGUUUUAGCUGACAUAGGGCGACAGGCGGGGUCACACCCUGGACAAUUCACCAGUCCAUCGCAGGGACAAAUAUAGAGACAAACAACCAUUCACUCUCACACCUACGGUCAAUUUAGAGUGUCAAAUUUUUCUAAUCCCCAAAUCAAGAAAACCAAUGCACACACAGGAGAACGUGCAAAAUCCAUGCAGAAAGGCCCUUGUUCUGGAUUAUAAACUUCAGUUCCCAGUGAGAAAAUUGCAACAAUACUGUGUGUGUGUGUGUGUUGCUUACAGGAGCCAGCAGGAAGUGAUCCAGCUGCAGAUCCUCAAGGUCGAGGCAGAUGCUUGGAUGGAACAGCCCUGAGAACCUAUUCACUCACCUCCCAUGUGGGUAGAACGUCUGAAGGAAGGAAAGAGAGACGUGUGUGGAGCGGAAGAGCAGAAGAAAGCUACAAAGUUUACUGCACCUGCAGCUGCUCCUGUUGACACCUGCUCGUUGCCGGGGAAGCGUGUGACGUUGUACGCCGCCAAAGAUCGUCGGUGCAAACGAGAUGGCCAACUCCGACUCCUGCAAGUAAGA